GUCAAGUGAAUAAGUGCAUAUGGUGAAUGCCUUGGCGAUUACAGGCGAUGAAGGACGUGAUAAUCUGCGAAAAGUUUCGGGGAGCUGAUAAAUAAGCUUUGAUCCGGAAAUAUCCGAAUGGGGAAACCCACCCGCAAGGGUAACCGCUCCUGAAUAUAUAGGGAGAUGGUGGCAAACCCGGUGAACUGAAACAUCUAAGUAACCGGAGGAAGAGAAAACAA
rnacentral:rRNA from 11 species